GCCUAACACAUGCAAGUCGAACGUGCCUGUUUUUGGUAGCAAUAUUGAGAACAGGAAAGUGGCGAACGGGUGAGUAACACGUAGGUAAUCUGCCUCUGGGAUGGGGAAAACUCAGGGAAACUUGAGUUAAUACCCAAUAAGCCCACGCUCCGGGAGGGGUGCGGGAAAAAGGCGCAAGUCGCCUGGAGAUGCGCCUGCGGCCUAUCAGCUAGUUGGUGGGGUAACGGCCUACCAAGGCGAAGACGGGUAACCGGCCUGAGAGGGUGAACGGUCACACUGGGACUGAGACACGGCCCAGACUCCUACGGGAGGCAGCAGUGAGGAAUUUUCCGCAAUGGGCGCAAGCCUGACGGAGCGACGCCGCGUGAAGGAUGAAGGCUUUCGGGUCGUAAACUUCUUUUGUGGGGGACAAGUUGAUGAUGGUACUCCACGAAUAAGCCCCGGCUAACUACGUGCCAGCCGCCGCGGUAA
rnacentral:rRNA from 1 species